ensembl:snoRNA SNORD39 Small nucleolar RNA SNORD55/SNORD39
UGUGUAUGAUGAAACCAAUUGCGGAAUCCGAUUGUUCAUGCGGAUAAACCUUGGAGAACUGAACACUCA